ensembl:lncRNA
AUGCCAGGAAUUUUGGGAUCUGGGGAUUUUCAUCAGGAACUGGGGGAGUUUUCCCAGUUUUUGAUUUUUCUGGGAAGCACAUUCCCAGUUUUUAUUUCCUCCGGGGUGCAACAAUUCCUUGGAAUCUUUUUCCUUGGAAUUUCCCUGGCUUGGGAAAUUCCCAAAUCCCAGCCAGGAAGUCCAAAUUCAGGCCCAACUCAGAUCCAGCUUGGAAUUUUGGGCUCAGAUUCCCAAACUUUGGGCUGGAAAAGCCUCGGGAUGAUCCCAAUCCCAGGGCAGGGACACUUCCACUAUUCCAGGCUGCUCCUGCCUGCAUUUGAGCACUUCCAGGGCGGCCAAAUCCCAAAAACUUUGGGAAAAACCCGGAAAAAAAUGGGGGAAAAUUGGGAAAAAUCCCAAUUCCGGAGAGCUGUGGUUGGGGCUGAGCUUUGGGAAUUCCCCAGGUGGGAAAAGAGCCUUUCCCACCCCCCGGAGACGCCGAGGAAGGAGCAGAAUUCCCCAAAAUUCCCAAUUUUCCGCCUCCAAUCUCCCGUGAAAAUCCAUCAAAAUCGGUGAAACAGCCGGAAAAUCCCUUGGGAAUUCUGGGGGGGGGGUUCGGGUGGGAGCUCUGAGCUGAUUCCAGCUCCCGAGGGCUCCUCCUGCCGCCGGAAUUCCCAAAUCCCCAAAUUCCCGGCGGAAAUUCCAAUGUACAGAGCUUUUUACCAUUGUAUAUUAAAUUAUUUAAUAGCUUUUCGUGGCAGUUUUUCCUUUAUUUUUUUUUUUAAUGGAGCAGAGCUGGGAAGGAGGAGCUGAAAUUCCUUGGAAUUUUGGAGGGAAAGAGGAAAAAGGGAAACCAAAGCUGUGGGAUUGAAUCCCUGCGGGAACGAUCCCAAAUCCAUGUGGGAAUGGUCCCAAGGGUUAAAUCCCAAAUCCCACCAGGAAUGAUCCCAGAUCCCUGCGGGAAGGAUUCUAAAUCCCAAUGGGAAUGAGCCCAUCCUACUGGGACUGAUCCCAGAUCCCACCAGGAAUGAUCCCAAGGGUUAGAGCCCAAUGGGAACGACCCCAAAUCCCAGGAUUAAAUCCGUGCAGGAAUGAUCCCAAAUCCCAUCAGGAAUGAUCCAAGAUUCCAUCACGAGUGUCCUCAGAUCCCACCAGGAAUGUUCCAAUAUUCUAUCUGGAACGAUCCCAGGGUUAAAUCCCACCGGCACUGAUCCCGGUGGGAUUGACCGCAGAUCGCACCGGGCCUGAUCCCGGCGGAGCAGCCGGACCGAACCGGACCGGACCGGACCGGACCGUGCCGCUCUGACCCAGAUCAGCCCCGGAGUCACCGAGCGGGGCCGGCCCCUCCUCAUCCCCGGCGCGGGCCCUGUCCCGGCCCUGUCCCCGCCGCGAGUCCCGGCCCUCAGCCGGCCCGGCCGCCACCCCGCCCUCCCUCCCGCAGAACCGGCUCCGCCGGCCGCGGGGCCUCCCCCGCUUCCUGCCGCCGGCCCCCCUAUCUGCGGCCCCAGCGCGGCCUGCGCGGGCGGAUAAGGGCGGCGGGGCCGGCCCCUCCCCGCGCCGCCAUCACCUCAGCCGG